UACGUAGGGUCCGAGCGUUGUCCGGAAUUAUUGGGCGUAAAGAGCUCGUAGGCGGUUUCGUAAGUCGGAUGUGAAAACUCCAGGCUCAACUUGGAGACGCCAUUCGAUACUGCGAUGACUUGAGUCCGGUAGGGGAGUGUGGAAUUCCUGGUGUAGCGGUGAAAUGCAUUGAGAUCGGAAAGAACACCAACGGCGAAAGCACUCUGCUGGGCCGACACUGACACUGAGAGACGGAAGCUAGGGGAGCAAAUGGG
rnacentral:rRNA from 1 species